rnacentral:rRNA from 1 species
UGAGCAAACUGCCCUUCUCAUCGGAAUAAGCGUUGGAAACGACGUCUAAUGCCGAAUACGACCUCCUUUCGCAUGAUCGGAGGUGGAAAGCUCCGGCGGAGAAGGAUGAGCUCGCGGCCUAUCAGCUAGUUGGUGUGGGUAACGGCCCACCAAGGCGACAACGGGUAGCCGGCCUGAGAGGGUGACCGGCCACACUGGGACUGAGACACGGCCCAGACUCCUACGGGAGCAGCAGG